CGGGGUCCUACAGCGGAGAGCAGCUCCUGUGCCAUGGGAGCCAGCCUCGAAGGAGCCUUCAGAGCUGUCCCCUGGGGUGCUGGAGGAAGACUGCUGGCCUCAGCCUGGACUCUGUCCUGCUUCCCAGGCUACCCAACCCUCUUGGGCUGCAGGUGAGGGGUGCCAAGCUGCUUGGGGUGAGGCCAGCACAAGCCCACUCCUCCUUGCACUGCACCCUCUUGCAAAGGUGGGCCUGGUUCUGCACCACGUGUGCUGUGGAGAGACCUGGUAACUGUCCUGAUGGGCUCAUCUCUGGGGAACCUGCUUCUUUGGUUUUGGCCCCCAGUAUCCUGGGAGAUGGGUGACAACCUCUGGGUGCAGGCACUCAAGGAGGCACUGCUGGCGGGACAGGGGAGGAGGAAGAGGAAGAAGAAGAAGAAAAUGAGCUGAGGAAUGGCCACCACAGCAAGGGCUGCCCCAAGCACAACUCUCUUCAAAGUUUCUCAAGAGGCUUCAGCCACUCUUUCAAGGCAGAAGCACCCUGGAGCCAGGAUGGCAUGGAGCUGCUCCCAGCACAGCCUGCACACUGGGAUCACGGGUUGUGACCAUGCUGCACUCUGGGUUUCUUCACUUGCCCGGGUUCACUCCCAUGAUGCCAAUAUCCCAUCCAGGACAGCGUGGGCAAGUUGCAAAGCCCUGCUCAGCUGUGGUGACUCACUCAAGCUCCCGAUGGGAAAGUCAUCGUUCCUGGCAGGCCCUGACAGCCCAGAGGCAAAUCAUUACUAGGCAGGCAGUUGGAAAACAACACCACGAAAGCUCAUAGCGUACAUGCUGCUGGCACGGAGGCUCUCCCAUGAGGGAUCAGCAGGGAAGAUGUUCCUGUGGAGGGAAGGAGGCUGGAGGAGCCACUGCACUUCGUUCAUCCCCCUCCUUAAGUGAAGGUAUGGAACCCUCUGUGUCACUGUGCGCUGCCUGUGUCACCCAUCCAGUAUCUCUGCCAAUGUGCUCCUUAGCCACACUCCUGGGUUUGCAUCAUGCUGGACUUGUGGUCUCUGUGUCACCUCAUACACUGC